rnacentral:rRNA from 1 species
CCUACGGGGGGCUGCAGUGGGGAAUAUUGGACAAUGGGCGAAAGCCUGAUCCAGCCAUGCCGCGUGUGUGAAGAAGGCCUUCGGGUUGUAAAGCACUUUCAGUGGGGAAGAAAGCCUUGGGGCUAAUACCCUCGAGGAAGGACAUCACCCACAGAAGAAGCACCGGCUAACUCCGUGCCAGCAGCCGCGGUAAUACGGAGGGUGCGAGCGUUAAUCGGAAUUACUGGGCGUAAAGCGCGCGUAGGCGGUCUGAUAAGCCGGUUGUGAAAGCCCCGGGCUCAACCUGGGAACGGCAUCCGGAACUGUCAGGCUAGAGUGCAGGAGAGGAAGGUAGAAUUCCCGGUGUAGCGGGGAAAUGCGUAGAGAUCGGGAGGAAUACCAGUGGCGAAGGCGGCCUUCUGGACUGACACUGACGCUGAGGUGCGAAAGCGUGGGUAGCAAACAGGAUUAGAUACCCUGGUAGUC